rnacentral:rRNA from 1 species
UACGGGGGGGGCAAGCGUUGUUCGGAAUUACUGGGCGUAAAGGGUUCGUAGGUGCCAAGCUAAGCCAGACGUGAAAUCCCCUCAGCUUAACUGGGGAACUGCGUCUGGGACUGGAUGGCUUGAGUGCAGGAGAGGAACGCGGAAUUCCGAGUGUAGCGGUGAAAUGCGUAGAGUAUCGUGAGGAACACCGGUGGCGAAGGCGGGUCGUCGCGACUCGCGAACUGCACGUG